rnacentral:lncRNA from 1 species
CCACUUCUCCUUCAUCAGGAAGUUUUAUUGGAGGAUCAACCAUUAUAUGUCCCUCUCCUACCAUGUGAGCUUCACCAAAGACGGCUGCCAACCGCUCUCACACCCUCUUUGGGUAUUCCAACGUCAGUAUUCAACCCGACUUCAUUAUAUUCUUUGGAACAUCGGUUUUAGGAUUUCAAGUGAAAUUUCUCUUCUGGUCUCUUCUUUCUUU